rnacentral:tRNA from 1 species
GGGGGUAUCGCCAAGCGGUAAGGNNACUGCCUUCUAAGCAGUGGGUCAGGGGUUCGAGUCCCUUCAAGCGCGCCA